rnacentral:tRNA from 1 species
UGGGGUGUAACUCAGUGGUAGAGCACUUGCCUAGAAUGCACAAGGCCCUGGGUUCAUCCCCAGCACCACAA